AACGAACGCUGGCGGCAUGCCUAACACAUGCAAGUCGAACGAGACCUUCGGGUCUAGUGGCGCACGGGUGCGUAACGCGUGGGAACCUGCCCUUAGGUUCGGAAUAACUCCCCGAAAGGGGUGCUAAUACCGGAUAAUGUCUUCGGACCAAAGAUUUAUCGCCUUUGGAUGGGCCCGCGUUGGAUUAGCUAGUUGGUAGGGUAAAAGCCUACCAAGGCGACGAUCCAUAGCUGGUCUGAGAGGAUGAUCAGCCACACUGGGACUGAGACACGGCCCAGACUCCUACGGGAGGGAGCAGUGGGGGAUAUUGGACAAUGGGCGAAAGCCUGAUCCAGCAAUGCCGGGUGAGUGAUGAAGGCCUUAGGGUUGUAAAGCUCUUUUACCCGGGAUGAUAAUGACAGUACCGGGAGAAUAAGCUCCGGCUAACUCCGUG
rnacentral:rRNA from 1 species